rnacentral:lncRNA from 1 species
UUUUUUUUUUUUUUUUUUUUGAGGGAUAAUGAUUUCAGUGGUUGGUUUUCACAUAGAAUCAUAGUUAUUUCAAUAGCAGCUGUUAGAUUGUAAGAUUUCAUGAAUUUAGUAUGUAGCCAGCCACCUAUGAGGCCUUUCACCUACAUUUCACCCUACCUCUUAGGUGGGAUGAAAACCCUUGUUCCCUUGUAAUGUAUGGAGCCCACUGUCCCCUUCCCUCUGCCAAGCUAUAGCUGGGAGAGCUGAGACAUCUAGGCAAGUUGCAUGUAGGAGGUCACAGGUCUCCAUCACAUUGAGACCACAUCUUUUCACACUUGCUCCUGUGGAACAGGCUGGAGCUGGGUGGCAUGGGUGUAGUCUGCCCUUUGUGGUCGGGAAGAGAGGCCCAUCUCAUCUCUUCCAUGUGGCUACAGCCUUCUGGGGACAGACUCUUUAGUACCACCCACAGCCCUGUUCUGUAAAGCUCCUGGCACACUGUGGGCGCUUAAUAAAUGUUAAAUAAUGAGAAUAGCUCCCAUCUGUCAGUGCCUGGUGGCAGGGAGGAUGGGUGAGUGCUGAGUAGUACUGGGCAGCUUGUGGCAAACACUGUGUGUGUGUGUGUGUGUGUGUGUGUGUGUGUGUGUGUGUGUGUGUGUUUGGGAGACUGUAGCCCUGAGAUGUUCAAGGUCCCUCAGCAUUAAAGUGGCUCCCACUCCUCUAGAAAUCAGAAUGUGGACAAGUGCCUUGUCAGUGCGGGCACUGCACCAAUCCUGGCUGUCUGCAUUGUUUACAUGGACCCCAGCCCAGUAGCUGCUUUUCUCAUGGGAAGCUAGGCUCAGGAACAUGUUGAUCAACAAUGCAGGGGCUUUGUUGAGAUUUAAGAGAGGAGGGAAGGAUUGGCCCUUGGAGCAGACGGCACCAUAAAUUCCUGCUUCUGUCGUUUUUCUUGGAGGAAAAUACCUCCCGGGGCUUUUCACAUUUAGUCAUAAUUAUAUCAACAGUGGCUGCUUGAUUUCAGGCAUUUCUGUGUACCAGUCCACAUAUGAGGUCUUUACCUACAGUACCUUAUGGAAGCACUGUGUUUUAGUUAGGCAAAACAGGCUAUCAAGAGGCAGGAUUGUGCAGAGGUGGGGACCGAAGAACAGGCCAAACUGGUUCAUCUUCUGUCUGCACUGUUGAAUGUUCACCUCUGUGACCUUGGGUGCACAUAGCUUGACCUUGAACUGCGCUCUUCUUUAUUCCAUUGGUUGUUAAAGGAGACAGCCUGUGAACAGCAUAGCAAUUGGCCCAGACUCAAAAUGUAUUUCCAAGCUUCUUGCUAAGUGCACUGCAACCCCACCAAGGCAACUCUUAACUCCUGGUCUGAUGGUUAUACGUCUUCUCCAUGUGGCAGCGAGUGCUAUGCUGUCCCUGAGCACAAGCCUAAAGCCAGGCUUUCUGGUUAAGGGCAAGCUUUGCUUUUCAUUAGAAAGUUCCGCAACUUCUCUGUUCUUCAGUUCCUCUUGGCUACAAUGAGUAUGUGAAAAAAUGCCUCAGCUUCUACACACUUCUCUAUAAUAUCAGUUGUUCUUGACCACUGAAGAAAGAAUCUUGGUAAUACACUUUCAAUACUAACAUGUACAGAAUGUCUGAGAAAAGAGUAGAAAUAAUCAUCCAUAAUUGUUAUAUCUAUCUAAUAAAGACAUGUGUGUUAGUAUUUAAUCAAUAUAUAAGAUACAUAUGAUAUAGUGUUAUAUACACCUUGGAACAUUAUUCCUUGAGUCAUUAUAUAAUUAUGUUAACAUUAGCAUAUACUAGAUAAAGGUAAUAUAAUAUACAAUUCAUAUGUAAUAUAAAAUAGUCAUUAUUCUUAUUUCUGCUGCUACUGACACAACUGCAACUAACUCCAUUUAGAGUUUCCUCUAAAAUAUUUCUUCUGUGUGAACACUUCUGAAAAGAUUUACUUUGAAGAGAAGAGGGAAGCCAAGCACUGUGGUGGUGCCUGUAAGUCCAGCACUCAGCAGACUCAGGUAGGAAGAUUACAAGUUCCAAGCCACCUGCAAACCAGGGCUACCUGGAAGACCUUGCCCCAAAGAUUAAACAAACUAAUAUGUAGAUAUUUUUCAAAGAAAAGGAAGGACAACCAACUAAACUGACUGCCUUUCUCAGUAGGGAUGAGGUGGAGCGUGGUCUGUUGGUCUGUGGGAUUCUAGAGUAGGAAGCAGUGGUGGUGGUGUCACCAAGCUCUACAGGGGAGUGCCUGUGUCUGUGCUCAGCACAAGCCACGUUGAGCAGAAGCCCUUCUGUGCUGUUGUCCUCUCUCAUCACUUUCCUCCUCAAGUCCUGCAGCUUCCUGUCAGGAGGGCCUAUUCCUCAGUGGAAGUCAAGAUCCUGGGGAAAGGAUCACACCAGGACAAAAGCUGUUGAUACAGGACCAGGAGAGGACUGCUGGGAAAGGGGUCCUCGAAGCUUGGUUUACAAGACUGUCUGUGAAGUUAUCAGUGUCUAAUCCCACUGGAGAUAUACCUUCUGGUUCCGCUCCAAACACACACAAUCUAUCAAACAUGUCAGUUACUCCAGGGACUUCAGACAGCCUGAAAGCUGUAUUCUCCUCCCUUCCACAGCCACGUGCUUGUUGUAGAGAGAAGAGAAAACCUGGAGAUGCAUGCUCUCUGGGAGGUUUCUGUGGAACAUGUGAUGUGCAUGAUGAGCAACCAGUUAGUGUCUUCAUAAAUCAAGCUCCCCACUUUUCAGAGCAGCUCUAUGUUUUGCUUGGAGCAUUUUAUAAAAGUCUUUGUGGGCCCAGGGCUCUUACUAGUGGAAUUUUAUUUCAUACCCACUGUUUCCUUUGCCAGGUACUUUCCAUUGUGACUUAGUGAAGGUGCUUGCUGUAGCUUGCCAGAGGGCCUGGGAUCAGUGUGGAGAACCAGCAGACACUGAGCCUAUUUCCUAUCACCCCAGGUGCUGUUCCUCAGUGUCACAACCUCUUCCCUUAUCUGUUGUGAGUGACUAGGGCUCCCAUUUCUGCAUAUGAUGGGGCCACCUAGGGACAGUGAGAAGCCUCCAGCAUGAGAAUAAGGCAGAACAGAACAUGCAGGAUUCCUAUCUGUCUAAACCAUACUAGGAAAUGCGCUAGCUACAUGUCCAUUUCAUUUACUGUCUGGUGACAACCUAGAGAUGCACACACAUUCUUCCCUCCUGAGGAAGGACAGUAUGUAAGUUUUGACGAUGAUCUCCAUGUCACGGGUUCCUUGCCUCCUUGUUGGGGCUGUACAAGAUCAUAUGCAAUCAAACCUCUUUCAUUCUUUUGCCAUUUUUUAUUGUAUUGCUGACACAGCCUGGUAUAUUUUAAGAGUCCCUUAAGAUUCAGGAACACCUGCUUCACUGAGCCUUUAUGCUGUGAUUGGCUUCAGGGAUGAGGCGGGGUGCACUGAAGCCUGUAGUUUACUGUGGGCUGAAGAACAGAUGGACAGUGGACAGCUGGACAUGGUGGCCCAUGCCUAUGAUCCCAGCAGUUUAGGAGGGAGUGAGGGUUCUGGGGCAGGAGAAUCAGGAAUUCGAAUUCACCCUGGACAGCAUAGUGAGUUCCAGGCUGGUCUGGGUCAUGUAGUAGCACAUUAUUUUGAAAUCACAUAACAAAGAAAAGAAACCCAAAGUGUUUCUUGACUAUGAGUGUUUUCUACUAGAAGAGCCACUCAAAUCUGGUUAGCUUUGAGAGUACAGUAGGGGAGGCGUGGAUGUUUUACUGCCUUUUGAAAUGUAUUACUUAAACAAAUGGGUGCACAGUAACUCUUGCAUU